AACACAUAACAUGUCACAUCUCAGUCACUGCCAAACUGUUAGGAAGGAACAUUUUUGCCGUAUCACAAAUUUAGCAGACAUCAUAAAAAUGUUCAUUUUUUUGUUAUGAUUUGGAUUUUUGACACAACUGAAGACAAGGUGCAUUUGACGUUGGUAUGCUGUCUGUAUAAUUCACCAGAAUUAGCCCAGCAAACCUUUUUUGAUUCUAAGGAUCCUCUGUGCCGGGCGGAGCAACUGUUGACCCGUGGAACAAGUCACAGGGCUUCACGGUCUUGCCUGCUCGAAUUUGGUCGAGGAAGGUGAAACUCAAGUUGGCCACCCCUCAGUGAGGACAAAGGUAACAGAAGAAGACUGAGCAAAGUGAGAGGAAAAACCAAGAAAUCCUGACACAAAGACCACAAAGAAUGAAAGAGAUGUCAUCCAUUGGUCAUAAAAUGCCGAAUACUGAACAACUUUGGAAAAUAAUACAAGGAGGUCAACAUGAACUUGAGUUCCUGAGGAUGAUGGUCAGUAAGCAACAAAGGGACAUUGAAAGACUAAAAGAUGAAAAACAUGACCAAAGCCUGCUUGCAAAAACUUUGAAAGUACAAAUGAAACAUUUUUCUCAGAAAAUUGAGAUGAGCAUAAAGACAGCCACAAAAGAACAAAUGCUUAUCCAGCAAACGUUGACUGUCAUAAA